CCUACGGGUGGCAGCAGUGGGGAAUAUUGGACAAUGGGCGAAAGCCUGAUCCAGCCAUGCCGCGUGUGUGAAGAAGGCCUUCGGGUUGUAAAGCACUUUCAGUGGGGAAGAAAGCCUUGGGGCUAAUACCCUCGAGGAAGGACAUCACCCACAGAAGAAGCACCGGCUAACUCCGUGCCAGCAGCCGCGGUAAUACGGAGGGUGCGAGCGUUAAUCGGAAUUACUGGGCGUAAAGCGCGCGUAGGCGGUCUGAUAAGCCGGUUGUGAAAGCCCCGGGCUCAACCUGGGAACGGCAUCCGGAACUGUCAGGCUAGAGUGCAGGAGAGGAAGGUAGAAUUCCCGGUGUAGCGGUGAAAUGCGUAGAGAUCGGGAGGAAUACCGGUGGCGAAGGCGGCCUUCUGGACUGACACUGACGCUGAGGUGCGAAAGCGUGGGUAGCAAACAGGAUUAGAUACCCGAGUAGUC
rnacentral:rRNA from 1 species